UUCCGGUUGAUCCUGCCGGAGGUCACUGCUAUUGGGAUUCGACUAAGCCAUGCGAGUCGAGAGGGUUCGGCCCUCGGCUGACGGCUCAGUAACACGUAGAUAAUCUGCCCUUAGGUGGAGGAUAAUCUCGGGAAACUGAGGAUAAUACUCCAUAGAUCUAGGAUGCUGGAAUGCAUCUAGAUUGAAAGUUCCGACGCCUAAGGAUGGGUCUGCGGACUAUCAGGUUGUAGUCAGGGUAAAGACCUGACUAGCCUACGACGGAUAUGGGUUGUGAGAGCAAUAGCCCAGAGACGAUAUCUGAGACACGAUAUCGGGCCCUACGGGGCGCAGCAGGCGCGAAAUCUUCACAAUGUGCGAAAGCACGAUGAGGGGAUCCCAAGUGCUGGCACGUAAGUGUCAGCUGUUUCUUAGUCUAAAAAACUGAGAGAGUAAGGGCUGGGUAAGACGGGUGCCAGCCGCCGCGGUAAUACCUGCAGCUCAAGUGGUGGCCGCUAUUAUUGGGCCUAAAACGUCCGUAGCCUGUUUAGUAAAUGCUUGGGUAAAUUGUGUAGCUUAACUAUACGAAUACCGGGUAGACUGCUAAACUUGGGACCGGGAGAGGCUAGAGGUACUCCCGGGGUAGAGGUGAAAUUCUGUAAUCCUAGGGGGACCACCAGUGGCGAAGGCGUCUAGCUAGAACGGGUCUGACGGUGAGGGACGAAGCCCUGGGGCGCAAACCGGAUUAGAUACCCGGGUAGUCCAGGGUGUAAACGCUGCUUGCUUGAUGUUAGUUGGGCUCCGAGCCCAACUAGUGUCGGAGAGAAGUUGUUAAGCAAGCUGCCUGGGAAGUACGGUCGCAAGACUGAAACUUAAAGGAAUUGGCGGGGGAGCACAGCAACGGGUGGAGCGUGCGGUUUAAUUGGAUCAACGCCGGUAAUCGUCG
rnacentral:rRNA from 1 species